UUAUACGGAAUCCCUCGGGAGGAAGUGUGAAUGACUGAGUGGCGGACGGGUGAGUAACGCGUGGGCAACCUGCCCCGUACCGGGGGAUAACAGCCGGAAACGGCUGCUAAUACCGCAUAUGCUUUGCGGGCCGCAUGGCCCGCAAAGCAAAACUCCGGUGGUACGGGAUGGGCCCGCGUCUGAUUAGCUGGUUGGCGGGGUAACGGCCCACCAAGGCGACGAUCAGUAGCCGGCCUGAGAGGGCGGCCGGCCACAUUGGGACUGAGACACGGCCCAGACUCCUGCGGGAGGCAGCAGUGGGGAAUAUUGCACAAUGGGGGAAACCCUGAUGCAGCGACGCCGCGUGGGCGAGGAAGUACCUCGGUAUGUAAAGCCCUAUCAGCAGGGAAGAAACAGGACAGUACCUGACUAAGAAGCCCCGGCUAACUACGUGCCAGCAGCUGCGGUAAUACGUAGGGGGCAAGCGUUAUCCGGAUUCACUGGGCGUAAAGGGAGCGCAGGCGGCAUGGCAAGUCUGAUGUGAAAACCCGGGGCCCAACCCCGGGAGUGCAUUGGAAACUGCCAGGCUGGAGUGUCGGAGGGGUAAGCGGAAUUCCUAGUGUAGCGGUGAAAUGCGUAGAUAUUAGGAGGAACACCAGUGGCGAAGGCGGCUUACUGGACGACUACUGACGCUGAGGCUCGAAAGCGUGGGGAGCAAA
rnacentral:rRNA from 1 species